ensembl:lincRNA
CGGGAGGCUCUGCGCGCGUCCGCUCUUGGGGCCACCCGUUCCAGAGCCACUCGCCAGGGCCAACCCGGAGCUCGAGACCCCGAGCUCGGGUGCGAGCAGGAUGCGGCUCCCCGGGGACGGUUGGCGCGGGUAGGAGUCCCGAAGCCCCGACCUUACCUCUGCUUCAUGCUGCAGUGUCCCUCAGCGCUGGCGUCCCAGUGGCCGGUCCGUGCCGCCCUGUCCCACAGGCCCGGCGACCGUGGAGGUGUGUAAUGUCGUCCAUGGCCCAGUGCAGAGGAACACAGGUGUUGCCGUCAGACUGCCAGGGUCCGAUCCCGCCUCCGUCACUCACCCCGGGAGCUCCCUUUAAGCCAGGAGUCAACAGCGAGAUGGAAACAAGAAGGAUGACCAAUAAGAUGAACAGGAAAGAAAUGAGAAACAGAGGUCUUUGCUUAGGAGCUAAAGGCCACCUUCUGUAACACAAAAUAGUCUACAAGUGGCCUUGAACUCUGCCGUGAUUCAGUGACAGAGUUCCCUCAUGUCGUCUACCCACGUUGAAGUCCAGCGACACUGCGACUGUCUUCUUUACAACUUGCAAGACAUGCUGCUUCUGCAUUUGCCUGUUGUAUGAGAUUUACACCUGUUUUAAAGCCACGUUUUGUUUCAGUUGGGCUGGUGGCCAUACACCGCACUAGCCAGUCAAUAGUGAGAUGGCUCCUCAUGGAGGCGGCUUGGCUUGAGGCUGAGGGUCUUUAACCCACAUGCACAAGAGAGUUGCCACGAGGGGACGGAAGCCAGGCUAAUAACCAACUGCUGUACAGAGUUCCCAUCUGUCCCUCCUCACCAUUUUCAGCUGGCAGGAUUUCAGCAUUUUAGGGCUUGGGAAGACAAUAUUACUAAAUCUACUAAAAUACAUCACCCAUCCUUAUAGGCUUUGGCCAGUUGCUGAGCAAAUUAACUUCACAACUGAAGUGGGCCACAUUGGCCUGCAUGGUCCCCCGCUUCUCUUAGAAUCUGUGAGUGUGGGGCCUAUUGGAGGGUGGGAGGUGGGAGGAGGGUGAGGAUCAGGAAAAAUAGCUGAUAUUAGGCUUAAUAUAUGGGUGAUGAAAUAAUCUGUACAACAAACUCUUGACACAUGUAUAUGUAUGUAGCAAACCUGAACAUCCUGCACAUGUACCCCUGAACUUUAAAUAAAAGUUUAAAAAAAAAAAGUCUGUGAGCUGACCCAAACCCCCGGGGAUCUUUGUGCUUUUGACACACUGAUAACUACACCG